UAAAAGAUAAGCUAACUAAAGCUGUUGAGCUCAUAACUCAAAUAUAGUGUUGUACACUUCUUUUAA
rnacentral:tRNA from 1 species